rnacentral:lncRNA from 1 species
CUCACUCAUAGUGAGCCCCGCGUUGAGCGCUUGGCGGCCCGCGUGGCUGGUGGCUGCUCUGUUGGGCAGCACAGACGGAGAACAUUUCCACCGUCAUGGAAAGUCCUGCAGGACGGUGCUGGCGUAGGGCGCAGGACUCAUCCUCCAGCAAUCAAACGGGCUGCCCCAUUCUUUCUCCUCCCUCUUGGCGCUUCAGUGACUCCAGGCCCUUCCAGGAAGGGCCCAGAGGCUCCACUGCCCGCAAUUGGGGGGCCUGCUCACCCUGUUUCUGAGCAGCUGCGUGACCCAGUUUGGGUGCCCAGUGGGCCUGGGCCUGUGCUUGGCAUGGAGAGGGACCCAGAGAUGGACGAGGAUCAGCAAGAACAGGUUUCCUUCCAAGACCUUCAGGCCACUUGGGGAGUGCGGGCGAUGAGUGGGGGCCGAGGCGCGCCAUGGGGUGGCCACACUUUGAGGCCAUGGACACUUCAGAAUCCAAAGCAUCUGGGACACAGCAAGUGUGGCUCAAAUUCAUGGACCCUGCACAUGGACAUCAGGGAAGGCCCAGGGGGCUCCGGAGGCCUGCGGAGGCCGCACAGUGGCGCUGGAGCCGCGGGACCAUUUUCAAGAGGAGAAAGGCCUCUCGGAGGAGCAGCAGAGUCUCUUUAACGUCUGUUAUUUUAGAAAAAAAAAAUAAGGAAGAAAUCAGAAGUCAAAUUGCCUCCCAUCAAGACACGGGAGGGACCUGAUUCAAUAUCCGUCCUCACGGACAACAGAGAGGAGGACCCUCUCGGGAGAAGGGGGAGCGCCGAGUAUAUCGCGUCGGAAAUUAACAUGUGAACUUCCCAUCUCUGCACCCAUUCAAAAUCUGAUUUAACAAACUGCUCUUAUUAAAGUCAAUUGGCGAGCAUUCCAUUAUAAAAACAAAUGAAAUCCUCCCCGACGACGAGAUAAUUUUCUCCCCACACCUAAGCGGGAGGCAUUAACUUAACGGGUAAUGAUCUAAAUUAUGUAUUAAACUCAAUUACUUUUUAUUACCGCUUUCCAAUUAGGGCACCCUGAUUGACUCGCGUGUGGAGACUUCCCCCAGCUCUACCUGGUCUCGUGGCCCCGGGGCUGGCCCGGCUCCCACUGCUGCCCCCCAGCUUAAUUGAGUGUGUCUCCCCCUGGCUCUAACCAGCCAGCGAGGUGCGGCUUCUAAUGACAAAUAAACAAGCGCGCGCGGGCGUGAUUACCGGCUAA